UACGGAGGGUGCAAGCAUUGAUCGGAAUUACUGGGCGUAAAGCGCGCGCAGGCGGCUAUGCAAGGCAGAUGUGAAAGCCCCGGGCUCAACCUGGGAAUUGCAUUUGAGACUGCUCUGCUCGGGUGCGGAAGAGGGAAGCGGAAUUUCCGGUGUAGCGGUGAAAUGCGUAGAUAUCGGAAGGAACACCAGUGGCGAAAGCGGCUUCCUGGUCCGACACCGACGUUCAGGCACGAAAGCGUGGGGAGCAAACAGG
rnacentral:rRNA from 1 species